CAAAAAUGGCAAGGUUUUAGACCAACUUCAACUCAGUAUUACAUCAUUAAGAAAGCUUCAAAUGAAAUUUUGUCCAACAUGAAAGUCGUAGAUCUUUCUCUCCCAUUUCCAAAAAGUCCAAGAUCAUCAAUUUCUCAUGUGUGCUUAACGAGAUAUGAUCGAAACUUGACAAAGUGUGGUUUGAACUUCAAAUGGGCAUAACUUCUCAACCAAAAGGCCAAUUUGAGUGGUUC
rnacentral:lncRNA from 1 species